ensembl:misc_RNA
AGCUUGCCCAUGUUUGAGUACCUGUCCCGUGACAGGUAUGUAGCUGAGGGUCAGUCUCCAUCUCUUGAUAUGAGGUCCAUUUUAGCCUCUAAGGAACUACCCUCGCGUUUCACAUCAG